AGCUUUGCACAGUGGUAAUAUUGUAACCAAUGAGGUUUAUCAGAAGAACGAUUAUUGCUAAUUGAAAACUUUUCCCAAGA
rnacentral:snRNA from 1 species